AGUGGGAGCGGGCUUGCUCGCGAAUGCGCAGUGUCAGUCGAUACAUUCUUGACUGACCCACCGCAUUCGCGAGCAAGCCCGCUCCCACA
rnacentral:misc_RNA from 1 species